CCAUGUCUGGGGUAUGGCUCUAAAAAAGGCAAAAAAAAAAAAGCAGAGAUUAGCAUGACCCAUGCAUAAGGAUGACAGGCAAAUUCAUGAAGUAUUUCAUAUAUUU